UGCUGGAGGUAUCAGAAGUGCGAAUGCUGACAUAAGUAACGAUAAAGCGGGUGAAAAGCCCGCUCGCCGGAAGACCAAGGGUUCCUGUCCAACGUUAAUCGGGGCAGGGUGAGUCGACCCCUAAGGCGAGGCCGAAAGGCGUAGUCGAUGGGAAACGGGUUAAUAUUCCCGUACUUGGUGUUACUGCGAAGGGGGGACGGAGAAGGCUAUGUUGGCCGGGCGACGGUUGUCCCGGUUUAAGCGUGUAGGUGUGUGUUCCAGGUAAAUCCGGUUCACUUUAACACUGAGGCGUGAUGACGAGGCACCACGGUGCUGAAGCAACAAAUGCCCUGCUUCCAGGAAAAGCCUCUAAGCCUCAGGUAACAUCAAAUCGUACCCCAAACCGACACAGGUGGUCAGGUAGAGAAUACCAAGGCGCUUGAGAGAACUCGGGUGAAGGAACUAGGCAAAAUGGUGCCGUAACUUCGGGAGAAGGCACGCUGACAGGUAGGUGAAGUGGUUUACCCAUGGAGCUGAAGUCAGUCGAAGAUACCAGCUGGCUGCAACUGUUUAUUAAAAACACAGCACUGUGCAAACACGAAAGUGGACGUAUACGGUGUGACGCCUGCCCGGUGCCGGAAGGUUAAUUGAUGGGGUCAGCGCAAGCGAAGCUCCUGAUCGAAGCCCCGGUAAACGGCGGCCGUAACUAUAACGGUCCUAAGGUAGCGAAAUUCCUUGUCGGGUAAGUUCCGACCUGCACGAAUGGCGUAAUGAUGGCCAGGCUGUCUCCACCCGGGACUCAGUGAAAUUGAACUCGCUGUGAAGAUGCAGUGUACCCGCGGCAAGACGGAAAGACCCCGUGAACCUUUACUAUAGCUUGACACUGAACACUGGUCCUUGAUGUGCAGGAUAGGUGGGAGGCUUUGAAGUGUGGACGCCAGUCUGCAUGGAGCCAUCCUUGAAAUACCACCCUUUAAUGGCUGGUGUUCUAACGUGGGCCCGUGAACCGGGUUGCGGACAGUGUCUGGUGGGUAGUUUGACUGGGGCGGUCUCCUCCUAAAGAGUAACGGAGGAGCACGAAGGUUGGCUAAUCCUGGUCGGACAUCAGGAGGUUAGUGCAAUGGCAUAAGCCAGCUUGACUGCGAGCGUGACGGCGCGAGCAGGUGCGAAAGCAGGUCAUAGUGAUCCGGUGGUUCUGAAUGGAAGGGCCAUCGCUCAACGGAUAAAAGGUACUCCGGGGAUAACAGGCUGAUACCGCCCAAGAGUUCAUAUCGACGGCGGUGUUUGGCACCUCGAUGUCGGCUCAUCACAUCCUGGGGCUGAAGUAGGUCCCAAGGGUAUGGCUGUUCGCCAUUUAAAGUGGUACGCGAGCUGGGUUUAGAACGUCGUGAGACAGUUCGGUCCCUAUCUGCCGUGGGCGCUGGAAGAUUGAGGGGGGCUGCUCCUAGUACGAGAGGACCGGAGUGGACGCAUCACUGGUGUUCGGGUUGUCAUGCCAAUGGCACUGCCCGGUAGCUACAUGCGGAAGAGAUAAGUGCUGAAAGCAUCUAAGCACGAAACUUGCCCCGAGAUGAAUCUUCCCUGAGCCUUUAAGGCUCCUGAAGGAACGUUGA
rnacentral:rRNA from 1 species